GGGCUGGGCGAUAUACCGGUUUGAAAAUUAUACCAGUAUAUUUUUGAAAGCGAUAUGUAGUUGAGACAAUAUCGCCAUACCAUAUUAUAUAUUAUUUUGAUGUUGCCUUGCGAGCGCUAUUUUAUAAAGCCGACCGCUGCUCUCUGAGCCUACAAACCAUGUUCAGCUGCUCAAUCCCGCCCCUUACAUGUACGUAGCGUUCUCCCACCCACGGACGUUUCGCAUCACAACAAACUUUGAACAAAAACAUGGCGGACACGGUUGUAGAGAGUACUGAACCCGUAAAGGGACAUGGGGUAAAAAUAAUGUUUUUAACGUUUCUCGUGAGCACGAGAAAGUAUCUGGUGCGCACGAGAAAGUAUCUCGUUCGCACGAGAAAGUAUCUGGUGCGCAUAUCACUGUGUGUGUGUGUGUGUGUGUGUGUGUGUCGUGUGAGUGCAGUGGACGAGCGAGCGGUAGCGUGCAUGUCAGUUUAGUGAAGUAAUGAUCGAGUCCGGAUGUGUGUAAAAGAAUAAAGCACCCGGCAAGAAUCGGUGGCCGCUUCAUUCCGACCAUAUUCCGACCUAUAAGCAGACCCACUGCCGGUCAAAGUAAAGGGUGUGUUGCCCCUGAGAGAUCAUCGGUCCUGGAGGGAACGUGUCUGGGAGCCGACAGCAGAAAGUUGUAACACUAACCAUCUCGUAGUCAGAGGGGAAGCGCAAGAGAGUAGUACGUGCUCCAAUAGUGCAAGAUAAAAAUAAAGCACAUUAAUUUAAAUGAUUUUAGCUUGUGUGUGAUUUAUCGCGGGCACGGGCACGCACAAGCUAAAAUCAUUCAUAUUAUAGAGGACGCUGUCAAGGAAAACAGGAUUUUUUGUCUCUAAUGACGUCUUUGGUAUCACUCCGUAAAUAGUCCGGUAACCCCAGCGUCUUCGGUUGCUAUGCGACGUCAACGUCUUUGGCGGGCUAUUUCUCUGCUGAUCAACACUACGAAUGCUGGUUACAAAUAAAGUGUAAAAAGACACACCGUGAAGUUAUUUUUUCGUUCAGGCAAGUAGCCGUGUAAUAAGCGGGAUAAUGUAUAGAACGUCGUCGGUCAUUAUUGAAAAUAAGCACCUUCAGGUCGGUGUCCUGUCCGCCCUGUCGGGGCUUAUUUUCCCGAUAAUGACCAGCGUUCUUUACAUUAUCCCUUACAUAUCUGUUGUUAAAGCACAGCUGUGCUUCAUUGAGCAAAAAAAUAAAAAACACUAAAUAAAUGGUUGAUAGUGAAUACUUGUGGCGCAGAGUUAAAAC